rnacentral:rRNA from 1 species
GUGUCUGGUGGGUAGUUUGACUGGGGCGGUCUCCUCCUAAAGAGUAACGGAGGAGCACGAAGGUUGGCUAAUCCUGGUCGGACAUCAGGAGGUUAGUGCAAUGGCAUAAGCCAGCUUGACUGCGAGCGUGACGGCGCGAGCAGGUGCGAAAGCAGGUCAUAGUGAUCCGGUGGUUCUGAAUGGAAGGGCCAUCGCUCAACGGAUAAAAGGUACUCCGGGGAUAACAGGCUGAUACCGCCCAAGAGUUCAUAUCGACGGCGGUGUUUGGCACCUCGAUGUCGGCUCAUCACAUCCUGGGGCUGAAGUAGGUCCCAAGGGUAUGGCUGUUCGCCAUUUAAAGUGGUACGCGAGCUGGGUUUAGAACGUCGUGAGACAGUUCGGUCCCUAUCUGCCGUGGGCGCUGGAGAACUGAGGGGGGCUGCUCCUAGUACGAGAGGACCGGAGUGGACGCAUCACUGGUGUUCGGGUUGUCAUGCCAAUGGCACUGCCCGGUAGCUAAAUGCGGAAGAGAUAAGUGCUGAAAGCAUCUAAGCACGAAACUUGCCCCGAGAUGAGUUCUCCCUGAGACUUAG